CGCCGCCUCCGUCGGCACCCGAGCCUCCGCCAGGACCAUCAAGCCGACCCACGCCGACGCCGGGGUUCAGGAGACCGGGCCGAGCCGCUGUCUCAUCAUCCAGCAGCGCGCGGGCGGCUUGUCCUCGUCCCCGUUCCCGUCCCCGUCCCCGCGCUCCUUGUCGCUACCGGCGGAGACAAAGAAGAACACCAAUCGAGCCCUCCGAAGCAACGCACCGGCAACGAAGAAGAAGAAGAAUCGAAUCAGCAGGUUAUGAUAUCUGUAACCCAGAUUUACUCGGUAUGGAGGAUGCGUUAGGUACAGCUAAACCUUAGUCAUCUGAUCACCAAUCUCCUCUGCCGAAUGAAGGAGCUCGGGCUGUUACCAAUAAAGUAGACAGUGAAGUUCACCCGAACGAGAUUUGGAAUUGAUUAUUUCGAUGUUCCUAAAUUUUCUUAACUCCUUAUUUAUGUUAGCCUUAAUGCUAAACAAGAGAAGCGUGCUGGUUGCCAAGAGCAGGCCAACAGAUUGGAUUUCAGGAUUUCCAAUUACAAAUGGACGUUUGCAGGUUAGGAUCAUCAUAUGCCACAUGAAGUGUGUACAUCUCUACUGUGGUUAUAACCUUUUGAAUCCAUGUCCGGUCCAGAUUAUAAAGAACAA